ACUCACAGAGAAGUAUUGCGCUAAGAAAAGCAGCAAUGUACAUCGAACCGAAACAUAUUUUUUUCCGCUGAGCGCGCUCUUCGUACGUCAACUAAAAUUGCCGCUCGCGGUUUAUUGAAGCAUUUGGAAAUUGUUAUAUUAUGAGAGGGACAAUUUAAACUGGAUUAAAAACGAUGUCAAUCAAUAUGAUAAACGAGAUCAAAAAAUACCUAUUUGCAAACGGACUAUGCUGGAGAAAAUAAUGUUUGAAUCAAGUCAUUGCUUCCGCAGCAAACUUAGAAGACAAAUAGGGAGCAAAGAGAACAUGAGCACCACGGUAGAAAGCUGUUUUUAACAUCAGUUCAGAAACUGAAGAAGCCCAAAGAAAAUAAUUAUGCCACUUGUUAAUUGUGAAUUAGUGUAUUUCUCUUGAACAAUGUCACAUUCACAUACCAGUGUAAUUUUGAAAUGGUUUUACAAUAUAUUUAUAUAAAUAUACAGAUUAAAAAUAAAUAAAACACAACUGCAGAUA